GCCUUCGUGGUAUAGUGGUCAGCACGCUCGACGCGUAACCGAGAGGUCCGUGGUUCGAUUCCCGGCGAUGGCG
rnacentral:tRNA from 1 species